rnacentral:lncRNA from 1 species
AAGGAGUGAUUCAAGAAAAGCGCUGUGCUAUUGAAGAGAAGUGUUUCGCCUUCACGUUUUAAUCUUCUGCAUGCUGCAUGCAGAAGCCAAGCAUGUGCCUGGACCCCGCAAGCAUGUACCUAUAUGUGAGGUGUUCCUAUCAACAUACGUACGCUGUAACUGUUGCAACUCACGGGAUGAAUAAAGGCCUUUGGAAAUAUGAUGAUGACCAGUAUUUUAUGGAGGGUGUUAUAUUGUAUCAGGAUGUGAUUUGGUAAUUUUAAUCAUUUCUGUGAAGGUGGGGUUUAUAUUGCUGUUAUACAUUUAUGGAAGGUGUGAUAUAUAGUACGUACAAUGCUAU